UUUCCUGUGGUCCGGUGGUUAGGACUCAGCACUUUGACUGCUGGGGUCCCAGGUUUAAUUCCUGGUUGGGAAA